GACGAACGCUGGCGGCAUGCCUAACACAUGCAAGUCGAACGGAGAAAAGGAAGCUUGCUUCUUUUUCUUAGUGGCGGACGGGUGAGUAACGCGUGAGUAACCUGCCUUUCAGAGGGGGAUAACGUUCUGAAAAGAUCGCUAAUACCGCAUGAGACUACGGAGCUGCAUGGCUCAGUGGUCAAAGGAGCAAUCCGCUGAAAGAUGGACUCGCGUCCGAUUAGAUAGUUGGCGGGGUAAUGGCCCACCAAGUCGACGAUCGGUAGCCGGACUGAGAGGUUGAACGGCCACAUUGGGACUGAGACACGGGCCCAGGACUCCUACGGGAGGCAGCAGUGAGGGAUAUUCGGCAAUGGGGGAAACCCUGACCGAGCAAUGCCGCGUGAGGGAUGACGGUUUUCGGAUUGUAAACCUCUGUCCUCUGUGAAGNUAAUGACGGUAGCAGAGGAGGAAGCUCCGGCUAACUACGUG
rnacentral:rRNA from 1 species